UACGGGGGAUGCAAGCGUUAUCCGGAUUUAUUGGGUUUAAAGGGUGCGUAGGCGGUUUGAUAAGUCAGCGGUGAAAUAUUUCAGCUUAACUGAAAGGGUGCCGUUGAUACUGUCAGGCUUGAUUAUGGUUGCUGUGGGUGGAAUGUGUGGUGUAGCGGUGAAAUGCUUAGAUAUCACACAGAAUAUCGAUUGCGAAGGCAGCUCACAAAGCCAUUAUUGACGCUGAUGCACGAAAGUGUGGGGAUCAAACAGG
rnacentral:misc_RNA from 1 species